UGGAGCCUCGUCUCCUCUCUGGUGAACUCCACCUCUCCUCUCCACCAGGGGGCGCCAUGCUCCAGUAGGCGGCGCUCUCCUUGUGCUCUGUGUUCCAGCAUUGUGUCAAUAAGAAGUGGUGCUGUGAAGAGAACAAUAGUCAGACUGAAUGUUGAACAUCAGCUGCUUCCUCCUGCUGAUUUAAACCUUGGUGGACAGAUGGAACAUUGGCUGUGGAUUAUUCUGGCUGCUCUUUUCUCUGAGUGUAAAGGAGACUCAGUGAAGCAGACAGAAGGAGAAGUUGUUGCUGCUGCAGGAGAAUCACUGACUCUGAGAUGUACUUAUGAGACCAGUGACACUUUUCCAAGUUUAUUCUGGUACAGGCAAGAAGAAAACAGUUUCCCAAAGUUCAUGCUGAAGCAACGAUUAUCAGCCAAAGAUAAAGCUCCAGAUUUCAACAAUGACAGAUUUGAUGCUGACCUCAACAGCACCAUAAAAUCCUUCAACCUGAAGAUCCAGGAUCUCCGUCUGUCAGACUCUGCUGUGUACUACUGCGCUCUGCAGCCCACAGUGACAGGAAACACCAGAACCCUGUACAAAAACCUGCAGUACUCCACAGCAGCCACUAGAGGGCUCCAAUAG